rnacentral:rRNA from 1 species
GAUGAACGCUGGCGGCGUGCCUAAUACAUGCAAGUCGAGCGAACAGACGAGGAGCUUGCUCCUCUGACGUUAGCGGCGGACGGGUGAGUAACACGUGGAUAACCUCCCUAUAAGACUGGGAUAACUUCGGGAAACCGGAGCUAAUACCGGAUAAUAUAUUGAACCGCAUGGUUCAAUAGUGAAAGACGGUUUUGCUGUCACUUAUAGAUGGAUCCGCGCCGCAUUAGCUAGUUGGUAAGGUAACGGCUUACCAAGGCAACGAUGCGUAGCCGACCUGAGAGGAUGAUCAGCCACACUGGAACUGAGACACGGUCCAGACUCCUACGGGAGGCAGCAGUAGGGAAUCUUCCGCAAUGGGCGAAAGCCUGACGGAGCAACGCCGCGUGAGUGAUGAAGGUCUUCGGAUCGUAAAGCUCUGUUAUUAGGGAAGAACAAAUGUGUAAGUAACUAUGCACGUCUUGACGGUACCUAAUCAGAAAGCCACGGCUAACUACGUG